AUUUCAACUUAUUUUUUGCACAUUUAUUUAUUUAUUCCUUGAUUUUUACAAAAGUAAUCCAUGCUGAUGGUAAAAAUGAAUAUCUCCUUUAAGCUUAAUUCUUUUGUAAGGUAAAGUUGACCAAAGACCCACAAGUUAAAGUUCAUUGUCCUGUCUUCUUAGGUCAGUGCAGCACCUGAUUUCAGCUGGUUUAGUCCAGAAAUAUGCACAUUUUGUACCUGCCAUAGAAACCCUUACAACGCCUUCUCUAACUGAAAUAGUGGAGACAACGGAUGAAUGCUGAGCUGCACCGGUUCCAGAUGGAAAUGGUAAUCCUCCAUUUCUCCACCUCUGCAUUCACCAAACACCGACUACAUCUUUGAA
rnacentral:lncRNA from 1 species